rnacentral:rRNA from 1 species
AAAUUGAAGAGUUUGAUCAUGGCUCAGAUUGAACGCUGGCGGCAGGCCUAACACAUGCAAGUCGAGCGGUAGCACAGAGAGCUUGCUCUCGGGUGACGAGCGGCGGACGGGUGAGUAAUGUCUGGGAAACUGCCUGAUGGAGGGGGAUAACUACUGGAAACGGUAGCUAAUACCGCAUAAUGUCGCAAGACCAAAGUGGGGGACCUUCGGGCCUCAUGCCAUCAGAUGUGCCCAGAUGGGAUUAGCUAGUAGGUGGGGUAACGGCUCACCUAGGCGACGAUCCCUAGCUGGUCUGAGAGGAUGACCAGCCACACUGGAACUGAGACACGGUCCAGACUCCUACGGGAGGCAGCAGUGGGGAAUAUUGCACAAUGGGCGCAAGCCUGAUGCAGCCAUGCCGCGUGUGUGAAGAAGGCCUUCGGGUUGUAAAGCACUUUCAGCGGGGAGGAAGGCGGUAAGGUUAAUAACCUCAUCGAUUGACGUUACCCGCAGAAGAAGCACCGGCUAACUCCGUGCCAGCAGCCGCGGUAAUACGGAGGGUGCAAGCGUUAAUCGGAAUUACUGGGCGUAAAGCGCACGCAGGCGGUCUGUCAAGUCGGAUGUGAAAUCCCCGGGCUCAACCUGGGAACUGCAUUCGAAACUGGCAGGCUAGAGUCUUGUAGAGGGGGGUAGAAUUCCAGGUGUAGCGGUGAAAUGCGUAGAGAUCUGGAGGAAUACCGGUGGCGAAGGCGGCCCCCUGGACAAAGACUGACGCUCAGGUGCGAAAGCGUGGGGAGCAAACAGGAUUAGAUACCCUGGUAGUCCACGCCGUAAACGAUGUCGAUUUGGAGGUUGUGCCCUUGAGGCGUGGCUUCCGGAGCUAACGCGUUAAAUCGACCGCCUGGGGAGUACGGCCGCAAGGUUAAAACUCAAAUGAAUUGACGGGGGCCCGCACAAGCGGUGGAGCAUGUGGUUUAAUUCGAUGCAACGCGAAGAACCUUACCUGGUCUUGACAUCCACAGAACUUAGCAGAGAUGCUUUGGUGCCUUCGGGAACUGUGAGACAGGUGCUGCAUGGCUGUCGUCAGCUCGUGUUGUGAAAUGUUGGGUUAAGUCCCGCAACGAGCGCAACCCUUAUCCUUUGUUGCCAGCGGUCCGGCCGGGAACUCAAAGGAGACUGCCAGUGAUAAACUGGAGGAAGGUGGGGAUGACGUCAAGUCAUCAUGGCCCUUACGACCAGGGCUACACACGUGCUACAAUGGCAUAUACAAAGAGAAGCGACCUCGCGAGAGCAAGCGGACCUCAUAAAGUAUGUCGUAGUCCGGAUUGGAGUCUGCAACUCGACUCCAUGAAGUCGGAAUCGCUAGUAAUCGUAGAUCAGAAUGCUACGGUGAAUACGUUCCCGGGCCUUGUACACACCGCCCGUCACACCAUGGGAGUGGGUUGCAAAAGAAGUAGGUAGCUUAACCUUCGGGAGGGCGCUUACCACUUUGUGAUUCAUGACUGGGGUGAAGUCGUAACAAGGUAACCGUAGGGGAACCUGCGGUUGGAUCACCUCCUUA